UUUCGAUGAUAGGGCAGCUUGGAAAAUACAGCUUCCAGACCAUUGACUGAAGAAUGUGUCACGAGCCCCGAUAUAUCAAGAAGAACUAGAACGAAACAAAGAUUUUAAAACCAGGUAAGGUGACAUUGUCCUAUGUUCAAACUUUGACAUUGAACUACAACAGUGUGUGCCCAUCGGGGUAUACAUAUGUGAUAGCUCUCAAGGUCUUCUUAAAAAGGCCAAUUCCAACAUCGGAAUCCUGAGACAUGUUGAUUAGAUGUUACUGACAAUGAGCUUUAUUGCAAGCAACCUGGAUUUUGGGCAUUUGUGAAAACAUUUUAGCCAUGUCUGAUUGAAUCUCUUUGACUGACAUGGUUUUUUCUUAUAUUUACCAGUCCCUUGUGAACUUUAAUCUUAACCCCUUGUACUAGCCCAUCUAGCUAGGCCCUAUGUAUUGAUGAAGCAGCAUUAGUACUAUAUUUUCAGAUGGGAAACAUGGUCACAGGCC
rnacentral:sRNA from 1 species